rnacentral:rRNA from 1 species
GGGUGAGUAAGGCCUAGGAAUCUGCCUGGUAGUGGGGGACAACGUUUCGAAAGGAACGCUAAUACCGCAUACGUCCUACGGGAGAAAGCAGGGGACCUUCGGGCCUUGCGCCUAUCAGAUGAGCCUAGGUCGGAUUAGCUAGUUGGUGAGGUAAUGGCUCACCAAGGCGACGAUCCGUAACUGGUCUGAGAGGAUGAUCAGUCACACUGGAACUGAGACACGGUCCAGACUCCUACGGGAGGCAGCAGUGGGGAAUAUUGGACAAUGGGCGAAAGCCUGAUCCAGCCAUGCCGCGUGUGUGAAGAAGGUCUUCGGAUUGUAAAGCACUUUAAGUUGGGAGGAAGGGUUGUAGAUUAAUACUCUGCAAUUUUGACGUUACCGACAGAAUAAGCACCGGCUAACUCUGUGCCAGCAGCCGCGGUAAUACAGAGGGUGCAAGCGUUAAUCGGAAUUACUGGGCGUAAAGCGCGCGUAGGUGGUUUGUUAAGUUGGAUGUGAAAUCCCCGGGCUCAACCUGGGAACUGCAUCCAAAACUGGCAAGCUAGAGUAUGGUAGAGGGUGGUGGAAUUUCCUGUGUAGCGGUGAAAUGCGUAGAUAUAGGAAGGAACACCAGUGGCGAAGGCGACCACCUGGACUGAUACUGACACUGAGGUGCGAAAGCGUGGGGAGCAAACAGGAUUAGAUACCUGGUAGUCCACGCCGUAAACGAUGUCAACUAGCC